AUUCGCGGCCUAUCAGCUUGUUGGUGGGGUGAUGGCCUACCAAGGCGACGACGGAUAGCCGGCCUGAGAGGGUGAUCGGCCACACUGGGACUGAGACACGGCCCAGACUCCUACGGGAGGCAGCAGUGGGGAAUCUUGCGCAAUGGGCGGAAGCCUGACGCAGCAACGCCGCGUGGGGGAUGACGGCCUUCGGGUUGUAAACCUCUUUCGCGAUCGACGAAGGUCCAGUUUCUGCUGGGCUGACGGUAGGUCGAGAAGAAGCACCGGCCAACUACGUGCCAGCAGCCGCGGUAAUACGUAGGGUGCGAGCGUUGUCCGGAAUUAUUGGGCGUAAAGAGCUCGUAGGCGGUGUGUCGCGUCGGCCGUGAAAACCUGGGGCUUAGCUCUGGGCGUGCGGUCGAUACGGGCAUCACUUGAGUUCGGCAGGGGAGACUGGAAUUCCUGGUGUAGCGGUGAAAUGCGCAGAUAUCAGGAGGAACACCGGUGGCGAAGGCGGGUCUCUGGGCCGAUACUGACGCUGAGGAGCGAAAGCAUGGGUAGCGAACAGGAUUAGAUACCCUGGUAGUCCAUGCCGUAAACGUUGGGCGCUAGGUGUGGGGCUCAUUCCACGGGUUCCGUGCCGCAGCUAACGCAUUAAGCGCCCCGCCUGGGGAGUACGGAAU
rnacentral:rRNA from 1 species